rnacentral:rRNA from 1 species
UACGAAGGGGGCUAGCGUUGCUCGGAAUCACUGGGCGUAAAGCGCACGUAGGCGGCUUGUUAAGUCAGGGGUGAAAUCCUGGAGCUCAACUCCAGAACUGCCUUUGAUACUGGCGAUCUCGAGUCCGGGAGAGGUGAGUGGAACUGCGAGUGUAGAGGUGAAAUUCGUAGAUAUUCGCAAGAACACCAGUGGCGAAGGCGGCUCACUGGCCCGAUACUGACGCUGAGGUGCGAAAGCGUGGGGAGCAAACAGG